GGCAUGUCAAUUAUAAAGAGCGAGAGGAGAAAAUCAUGUGUGUAAAAUUCAGUAUCCCUGUACGCGGCGUUUCGUCCUUGAUGGACUCGUCAGCAGGGAUUGGGGUUGGCACAUGUAUAAGAAGGAAGAAUACAGAAACCGAUUUGGAUUACAGAGUGAAUAAACAUAAAAAUAGUAAAAUAUGUGUAUGAUUAUUGUAAAAUAAAUGUAAAGUAUAAAGUGUCUUACCAAAUUCGCUGAUAUUUUUUGUCAAACCAACACGUUGGGCCAUGAUUGUAAUCACGAAUGGAUGUGGUAUAACUAUAGCGCUUAUAUAGAGCGUCUGUAUGCAGCUGUAUAAAUUGCGUGUUUGGUCAUACGCAGUGAGUGAGUAAGAUGAAGAGUACAUAUGGGCGUUUAGGUUGUUGUAUGGAUUGUAGGGGUGUUGAAGGAUCAUUUUGGAAAUUGUGUAUAUACUGGGUUGUAUCUGUUUACUUCAUGUAAUAAUAGUGUUUGUGAACUUGUUAUUUUAUGUUGAGAGUGUUAUUUUAAGUGUUGAUGUGCAAUGGUGUUUUGAGAUAUUUUUUUGAGACUUGGGGUAAAAAAUGGUUAAGGCGUGAGAGGGAGGGGGGGGGGGAGUGAACUGAGAUAACGUACUGUACUUGAGUGUUUGUUUUAUUGUUUAGGGAUCGGAUGUGUGUUAAUAGCUGUAAUGUACGGCGGGCUUGUGUGUUGGCCAUUGUGCAAUGCAUUUACUUAGUAUUACUGUUGUAUUGAGUUGCAAAGAUUGGUCUGUUAGUUGCUUUAUUUGCAUUUUCUGUUUUGUUAAGUAGGUCAUUUUGUGUGUACAGUAGUGCUUUGUUAAAGGAUGUCGGAUAAUGUUGUCAUGUUUGUGCAUAAAGGCAAUAAGUACGUUGUCCAGUCUUUGUUGUAGUUUCUUACUGUUAGUGGU